GUGUUGUGUGAAAGGAGAGAAGGCUAGCACUCCCCUUGACAAGGAUGGAAGAGGCCCUCAGGCCUUACGACAAGCAUAGGGUUGAUUACUGCCACCUAACUACAGUUUGGGAGCCCAAAACUGUU
rnacentral:ncRNA from 1 species